rnacentral:tRNA from 1 species
AGGCCUAUAACUUAAUCGGUAGAGUACUCGUUUGAUACACGAGGUGAAAAGGUUCAAUUCCUUUUAGGCCAA